UCGGAUAUGGUGUAACGGCUAACAUUGCCGCCUCUCACCGGGGGAACUGUAACUGGGGAAUCCGGGUUUCCAGCUACAGUUUCCCGCCAGUACGGAUCGCGGCAGCUCGGGGUUCGAUUCCCCGUAUCCGAA